rnacentral:lncRNA from 1 species
GUCCCCUCCCCUGCAGGACUCUCACCCUCCCCCGUUCCCCCCCAGAGGAAGGUGCGCAGGCUGGAGGCCCAGGUGCGCUCGGUGCAGGAGCACAUGGCGGGCGAGUGCCGCAAGCUGGUGCAGGAGAAGGGAGAGGCCAUCCAGAGCCUCAACUUGGAGAGACGUCGGCUGGAGGAGCUGGGCAAAGGCUGUGAGGACCAGAGCGGAGAUGACUCGCCCGUCAGUAACCAGGAGCUCACCAAGCUCAUGUUCACCCAAAAGACGGAUCGGAAGGUCGUGGUGCUGGGCUGCGACCAGCGCGACCCGGCCUGCGUGUUCUCCGUCCGCAGCUCUGUCCAGACUCAGAUGUCCUGGCGUUGCAGCUUUCGGCCGGGGGCGACCGGCGCUGCGUGCCACUCAGACAUCUCAACGCCCCCUUGCACCCGCUGGGGGGCCCAUACAGGUGAGAUUUCCCCAAUGGUCCCCCUCCCUCCUCCUUCGCCCCCCAUCGUCCCCUUCAUGCCCC